AGAAGAGAAUGUGACCAUUCCAUGUUCCUAUGAUAACAAGUAUGCUGAUCAUCAGAAACUAUGGUGCAGGGAAUCAAUGGCAACUUGUUUUUCUCAAAGAGGCCGUAUGUCAGUCACUGAUUACCCUGAUCAGGGUGUCUUCACAGCGACCAUGAGGAGCCUGCAGAGACAUGAUUCUGACAUAUACUUGUGUGCUGUACAAUCUGUUGGGGAAAUCAGAGCAGUUGACGAUUCAUAUAACAUAACAGUCAUCAAAGGUUCUCCAGACCUGUCAGUGAGGGACAAAGUGGUGAAUGGUGAGGAGGGCAGUACUGUCACUGUCCAGUGUCUCUACAGUGACAAAGACAAGUACACCAAGAAGACAUGGUGCAGGAGAAACAUGGAGUCCUGUUUACAAACGUGGAGCAGAACCUUCGAAAGAGACAGAACUAAACUGCAUGUCAAUAAUGUAGAAAGAAUCAUGACAGUGACACUGACCAGACUGGAGAAGAAGGACACAGACUGGUACUGGUGCGGUGUGGGAGACUUAAACUUCCCUGUUCAUAUUACUGUUUCUCGUCAAAAAGCUACUAGACGUCCAAAGACUCUGAUGACCUUGACUACAAACAUGCCAACAACAUCACCAACAGUAUCUUCAGCAGUUCCAUCUUCAGCUGACUUGAUACCUACUGGUACCAGAAAUGGGACACAUACACAGCAUUUCACCAGUGUGUCUCUGCUGAAAAUACUCCUACCAUCAUGUGGAUUUCUACUGGUUCUUCUGCUUGUUGUGAUGGGAACCUGGAAGCUGUGGCAAAUGCGGAAAAGAAGAACAAGAAAAAGCAACAGAAUGAAUACACACUAUGAUAGUGAAGUCACAUACAGCACUGUUGUCAUCAAGGCAAAUCACACAUCGAAGACUGUAAGUACAAUUUCAUUUGUCCUUCAUAUGAUUUACAGUAUUUGGGGAAAUUAUGUAUCACAGCAGCGUCCUUCUGUUCUGCUCAUUACAGUCAAAAAAACGGCAGCUUAAUGACUCUGUGAAUGAAGUGACCUACAGCUCUUUAGUGAUCCAACACAAAUAGCAGAUAUGACUGAAAAGAAGAAAAUACAGAGAGAUCAUGAUUCACCAGGAAGGAACUUUAUUUUGUCACCAAUUCACCAAGAAUCAACUUCCCCUUAUAUAUUUCUUGAUAUCAACAUAUUACAAAGUUGAUUAUACAUGUUCACUAUACACAUGUCUAUUUAGUUAAAUCUCAAAAACCUUUAUAUUCCCUCAUUCGUCUUAAUUUUAGCUUAAUCUCUUACAUUUCAUUGUGAGUACAGAAGGUAGAACUGUGGUUUUGCAGUGCUUUUUUGUAAUAAAAUGUAGUGGCAAUAUACAACCAGAACUAGUUGGACAGAAGAACAUUUGUAUGGAUGAAGAUCUUCAGAAGAAAAGUAAAGUACUGUUUUGUACUGUUAAUUUGUUACAGUGAUGUAACAGCAUGGUUUAUUCUGCAUGUUUCUAAGAAUUUUCAGUCACAUAAACAUUUUCAGCUUUA